rnacentral:rRNA from 1 species
AUUGAACGCUGGCGGCAGGCUUAACACAUGCAAGUCGAGCGGAGAUGAGGUGCUUGCACCUUAUCUUAGCGGCGGACGGGUGAGUAAUGCUUAGGAAUCUGCCUAUUAGUGGGGGACAACAUUCCGAAAGGAAUGCUAAUACCGCAUACGUCCUACGGGAGAAAGCAGGGGAUCUUCGGACCUUGCGCUAAUAGAUGAGCCUAAGUCGGAUUAGCUAGUUGGUGGGGUAAAGGCCUACCAAGGCGACGAUCUGUAGCGGGUCUGAGAGGAUGAUCCGCCACACUGGGACUGAGACACGGCCCAGACUCCUACGGGGGGCAGCAGUGGGGAAUAUUGGACAAUGGGGGAAACCCUGAUCCAGCCAUGCCGCGUGUGUGAAGAAGGCCUUAUGGUUGUAAAGCACUUUAAGCGAGGAGGAGGCUACUGAGACUAAUACUCUUGGAUAGUGGACGUUACUCGCAGAAUAAGCACCGGCUAACUCUGUGCCAGCCGCCGCAGUAAGAC